rnacentral:rRNA from 1 species
UACGAAGGGGGCUAGCGUUGUUCGGAAUUACUGGGCGUAAAGCGCACGUAGGCGGAUAUUUAAGUCAGGGGUGAAAUCCCGGGGCUCAACCCCGGAACUGCCUUUGAUACUGGGUAUCUCGAGUCCGAGAGAGGUGAGUGGAAUUCCGAGUGUAGAGGUGAAAUUCGUAGAUAUUCGGAGGAACACCAGUGGCGAAGGCGGCUCACUGGCUCGGUACUGACGCUGAGGUGCGAAAGCGUGGGAGCAAACAGGG